rnacentral:misc_RNA from 1 species
CCAAACGCUUCUGUCAAACAGGUUUCACAAGCCAAAAGAAAGCUGCUAGUUGGAGCAGAAGAGCUCAUGUACUCCAGCAAUAUUGCAUUUCAAAUAGUAGCCACUAUAAGGCGGGAAGCAGCUGAAAGGGUCAUGAGGCAUGAUGCAGAAAAUGACACUGUGUCUCCUAAAGUUAUUGCAGAAAAGCUGGCUGCCUCUUUAAGCCAGUUGACAGAAACUAGCGGGUUUUCAAUCAGUGCUUGCAAUGGACACAUUAAUUUUUAUAC